UAACCAUCCCAUGGCGUAAAUUUCUACAGUUUCGUAACAGUUCUAUAUAAUGUCCUUCUUCCGCGUGUCUCGGAUAUCGGGUGCAUUUAAACUUUAUAAAAAAAUAUUUUAUUGCGUUUAAAGUUUUAACCUCACACUGUAGAAAUAUAGGAUCAUGCAUGACUUUCGUUAAAUAUGACACAUAUAAGUCAACAAAUAUAAUAUAUCAAACAGGUUGUAAAUAUUUUCAAAAUGGAAAAGGACAAGAAAUUGUUAAUUUUCUGUGUUCUAUUCGCUAUUGCAGGUAAGAAUUUAAAGAAUCAUUAUACUUCUCUUUUCUUUAUAAACAAUAACGAAAUAAGAUUAACUUCAAGUAGCUUUCUACUGCUAUUUUUUCUUCAUCUUGGGGAGCUUUUGAGUAAAAACAAAAAGGCAGAAUGACAAUUUAUGGGAUAAAAGUCAGGAUAAACUAAUAAAAAAAGUCAGGACCGAAUAAAGUGAAAAAUAAAAAAGGCAGGACAGAGAUUAAAACUGAAAAAAAUGCAGGACUUUUUUUAUCCUAGCUCCCCCCAUAAAAAUCAAAUGUAAAAUCCCUAAUUGCAGUUCAACUGUUUUUGGCAUUUAUAUCUAAGUCUAUGAAAAGUCGUAUCAAUACCAACUAGAAAAUAUAUCUAGGGGUUAACAUACGGUCAUCGACCAUUAUAAUGUAAGUUGUCUAUAAACAUUUUUUGUUAAUAUGUAAAGUACUUAAAUAUCCCAAGUCUAGAAAAGAAGGAAUACAUUUAACAAAGGCAAUAUCAAAUAAACUACUAAUGAGGUACAUGUCUUUGGAUAGACACAAAAACAUGUGGCGAGAUUAAAAUAUUAACCACAGCUUAGUUAUUCAAGCCCAUUUGAAAGUAUAUAUAACUUUAACCUCAACGGAGUUGUCUAUUAUAUUAUACAAAACAAAUACAAAAUUAAAGAUACCAUAAAGUCGCGCUUGUUAAUUUGUCAUUAAAACUAAAAGUAAAACAGACUGAGGCUUUUUCUACAUUUAUUAAAUACCAUAUAUAUUUAUAACCGCUAGCUCGUCUUGUUACUUUUUCUUGUCUAACUGACUUUUAUCCAAUUAUUUUUCUAUACAUCCGCAAUGAAACGACGUCUUCAAACACAUUUGAUGUGGCUCUCGGCAGUCAAUCUCAGACAUUGCACGUUGUUACUGAACCAAUUCUUUGGGUUAAAAAAAAGGUUGUGCAUAAUUAUAUGUUUAUUAUAACUAUACGACACGUCUUGUUAUGAAACUCUUACACACGAGUAGUUAUAUAUAGAACUGCAAUAUCAGUUGUAAGGGUCACAUCAAGCUCGAGCCAUUUAAAAAAGGGGGGAUCCCAACGCAGGAGAAAGGAGGAAGGGGUUCCAACUAUAAGUCCCCAUUCAAAUGCAUUGAUCGUCCCCAAAAAAACUGGAACCCUCCCCUGGAUCUGGAUCUGACACGAUGUGGUCGUUAUAAUAAGCAUCGUGAUGGUCCGCAUAAAGAAUUCACCCCCGGGUUCGGAUUUUCUGGUUGUGUUGAAGACCCAUCGGUUGCUACAGCUGUUUUAUAGUCUUUGGUCGGGUUGUUGUCUCUUUGACACAUUCCCUAUUUCCAUUCUCAAUUUCACAUAAGUGCCUAAGGAUUAAAUAUACAAUACUGUGUAAAUGAUUAUAACAUAAACGGUACCAGUGUUGCUGCUCCAGAUGCGUGUUUCGACAAUCAACUACUCUUUAAUAAAAGUGUUUAGAAAGAUUUUGGACAUACUCUUCAAACAAAAAAUCAAAUGACAGGAUGUUUUAGCUAAAUGAAACACCACUUGGUAUUUAUUUGUUGAGCCAAAACCAUUUUCCGUAAUAAGUUUAUUUCUUCGUUGUUUAAUAGUGUCAUCAUGCUGUGGACGAUUCAGAGGAAGAUUUCGGAGUGGUUAUCAUUAUAGAGGGGGAUACUACUACAGUUCCUAUGGCAGCGGGUAAUUAUAAUACCAUAUUAUUUGCUUUUACUUCAUAUUGAAAUGUCAGCU
rnacentral:lncRNA from 1 species